rnacentral:rRNA from 1 species
UGCAGUCGAGCGAUGGAUUAAGAGCUUGCUCUUAUGAAGUUAGCGGCGGACGGGUGAGUAACACGUGGGUAACCUGCCCAUAAGACUGGGAUAACUCCGGGAAACCGGGGCUAAUACCGGAUAACAUUUUGAACCGCAUGGUUCGAAAUUGAAAGGCGGCUUCGGCUGUCACUUAUGGAUGGACCCGCGUCGCAUUAGCUAGUUGGUGAGGUAACGGCUCACCAAGGCAACGAUGCGUAGCCGACCUGAGAGGGUGAUCGGCCACACUGGGACUGAGACA